rnacentral:tRNA from 1 species
GGGGAUGUAGCUCAGUAGUAGAGCACUUGCCUAGCAUGCACGAGGUCCUGGGUUCAAUCCUCAGCAUUGCAA